CUCUGCUGGCGCGGUGGCCCCGGGGAAGCUCCUUCCUCGGGCCUCCGAGAGGUUUUCCUCUAUCCAGGGAGCCCAAACUUCUGUUUGAGGAACAGUAUAGCUGCCGAGGCGUGGGACUGGUCCAGUACAGCCAGCCCCGCCCAGGGUCUGCCAAAGGGCAGCGCCCAGCUCCUCCCAUGCUGCUGGGUCCCUGAGGGCCUCCAGAGAACCGAUGGCGGGGACAUAACUAUGGAGCUGGCUCAGCUCUCCAGGCUCCACUAACCGUGAACAAACCACAGGCCCAGGGAGGGAGUGGAAUAAAAGGCCACGGACCUGCCAUGCUCAGAGACCCCAGGCUUCAACCAUGUUGACACCUCUGCCCUUCAUCUGUCCUUCACCCAUGACGCUGCAUGGGCUUCUCUCCAUUCUGCUCCUUCUGACUCUCUUCAGCCCAGGGCAUGUGGACAUUCCUGAGGCCAGGGAUGGAACCCCCUAAUGCAGCUGUGGCACUGCUGGAUCCUUAUCCUACUGCACCACAAGGGAGCUUCCUGGAUUCAUGUCCUCUUGAUGGAAGUGGUCACUAACAAGUCAGACCUAUGCAGGCAUAUGUCCAUCUACACACACCCUGACCAGAGAGCAGCUCUGAGACUCAGGUAGUCCAGACCCUACCUUCUUCCUCCUUCUCCUCUGUGCUCCCACUCAUGACCCACUGACUCCUUUCUUUGCAUCUAUGGCUUCAUCUUUCACUUUGAUCCAUCCUCCUGAGCCUUCUGUGGAAGAGGGUGCCAGUUUGCGGUUUUGCCUCUAACUUCUCACCCCCAAACGAUCAUUUGGAAAUCUCUGUUUAUUCAGUUUUCAAUACAGUUAUUGCUCAGUCAUCUUGUAUCCGACAUAUGCUAUCAUCCCGGUACUUUUUUGAGCUUUAGGUCUAAAACACAAGUAAGCCACAUGAGGACUCCCAAGAAUCAUAAAGUUUUAUGGGAAGAGACAAACACAGGAAAAUGAUUAUUUAAAAAUAACUGAAAAUUUAAAGCAGAGCUAUUUGGAAAGCACAACUAUGAGGUUUUGAACAAAGAGAACUAUUUGUUAUUGUCGUCGUUUGAGAUUACUCAAAGGAUAAACAAAAACCAACACCAUAACACAGAUGUGGCAAAAGGAAUCAUGAAUACAUACGUCCAUAAAUGACAAAUGAUUUGCCAAGUGAAUCUGAGGACUAGAGAAGACAGUGGAGGGAACUUCGGACAAAUGAAACAAAGGGAGUAAAGAUGAAGGUGUGACGAUCGUGGUCUAUGCAUUGUGGUCAAUUACAAGUUCAGCACACAGUGUUCUUAGGUGAAGUGAUCAUGCCUGUGGCCUGGUGAUGAGAGUCACAGGCAGCCCGUGGAAGGUCCUAAGGUGCUAAGGUAGGGGUGUCAUAUGCAGCAGCAGAUUCUCAUAAUGGAAUGGACACUCUUAUUUGAAUUUAGAAACACCCCUCUAGGCAACAAAGAACAUGGACAGGAGGGGCAGCCUGGGAGGGAAGGAUCACCAGAAUGCGCCUGUGUGAUAGUGCAACUGGGUGGAGGGACCGCUAUUCUGGGUGAAGAGAUGGUGACCCUGGAAAGGAAUAUGGAAGAGCUAUAACUGACUCCAUGUAAUGCAUAAAUGAAUGCACUGGGCUCCUGAAUACAGUUAAAGAGCUUUUACCAAGAAGGGAAGCACAGGAAGGAGAAUGUUUCACUUUAUGUUUCUUUGUUUUUGAAUUUCUGACACAAACAAAAUGAGGUCCAUUUUCAACACUAUCAUGUUGUAACUAGGAUAAAGUUGUAAGGUUUUGUGUGUUUUUCACAAGUUUUCCCCAGCUCUACUGAGGUGUGGAUGACAAAUACAGUUUGUGUAUAUGAAGGGUGUACAUGCAUGUGGCCACAACAUGGAUGAAUGUGGAGACAUUAUGCUAAGUGAAAUAAGUCAAAGAGAAAUAGUUCACAAUUUCACUUAUAUGUGGGCUCUGAAAUAGUUAUACUCAUAAAAAUAUUGAGUAGACUGGUGGUGAUCAAGAGCUGUGGGGGAGGGGGAGGAAACAGGAAGGUUGUAUGUUUCCAUGGAUAUACAUUUGCAUCUCUAUGGAGACUUUAGUGCAUUUGCCAUUUUCACUGCCUAUGUGUGGCCAUAUGCUGGAGUAACGCCAAAUCAAUAUUUUGAACAUUAAGUUUAUUGGCAAGAAAAUGAAUUUUUAUUUGGAAGAAAAUGUGUUUCAUGCUAGCAGGCAGUGGCUUCCAUCUCUGAUCCAGUGACAUAGCAUCUGGCCAAAUGUAUAUGUGUUCAAUAAGCAAUUGCAGGAAUUUGGAGCAGUUGAACAGGCCCUUUGUCCAGGUUCUUUUCUCCAUGUGGAAAUGCUCAUCCUAGAAUUCUUCUAUCCUCACACUUGAGUUUGCCAUUUCAUUCAUGGACUAAUGAUCUUACUGACUUUUUUCUGCAGUAAAAAGUGGUUUAGCUUCUGCUGAAUAUCACUGUGUGAAUCUGGGUGGCAUUUGCAGAAGAGACCUCUGUAACACCCUGGAGGAUCAACUUGGUGCCUGCAAAAGAAGGUGGAAAUGCUGUCGGGCAUGGUGGAUUCUUUUGCCUGUCCCAACACCUAUUAUCUAUUCGGAUUAUCAAGAACCCAUUAAGCACAAAGUGAAAUGAAACUAGGAAAAGCAUCAAAAGGAAAUUUCUUUGUAUCUAAAAACUUUAGAAUAUACAUAUUAAACAAUGCCGACUUCGAAUUCCCUUAUGACUCAGUGGAUUAAGGAUCCUGCAUUGUCAGUACUGCAGCUCAGUUGGCUGCUGUGUCAAGGGUUUGAUUUCCUGGCCCAGGAAAUUUCACAUGCCGUGGUUGAAGCCAAAUAGAAAAAAAAAAAAAAAAAAAAACUACUUCCAGCUCUAUGAUCAACUUCUAUUAUUCCUUGUCAAUAAAAAUAAACAGUGAUU